UACGUAGGGGGCAAGCGUUGUCCGGAAUCAUUGGGCGUAAAGAGCGUGUAGGCGGCUCGGUAAGUCCGCUGUGAAAGUCCAGGGCUCAACCCUGGAAUGCCGGUGGAAACUGUCGAGCUCGAGUCCGGAAGAGGCGAGUGGAAUUCCUGGUGUAGCGGUGAAAUGCGCAGAUAUCAGGAGGAACACCAAUGGCGAAGGCAGCUCGCUGGGACGGUACUGACGCUGAGACGCGAAGCGUGGGGAGC
rnacentral:rRNA from 1 species